rnacentral:lncRNA from 1 species
AAGUUAAGACAGUUGGUUCUAAAAAGCGGUGAUUUUACAGUGAAGAACAAAACAAUAAAAAUCUCGUCCUAAAUAGAUGUGGUUCUAAAUAGAGGUGACUAUACAAAGAACAAUUUCACUGCAAAAAUAUCGUUCUAAAUAGAGGUGAUUCUAUAUUGAAUAAUAGCACAGUAAAAAGCAGCUCUGAAAUCGCGGUGUUUCUACAAUUGAUCAUAGCCUGUACAAUUCAUAACUGUCAUCUAUUAGUGGGUAUAUCAUAUUAUAAUUACGGUCUUGCAAUGUCUUCGGCUUCGCCUUGAACAAAAUUGCUUCCAUUCACCCUCGAUCUUGUAAUGCGGUUCA